AUGCCGUCAUCAGGACACCGGCUCCGCGAUGUCGAACACCAUCCUCUCCUGACCGAAAAUGACCAUUAUGACUCUUCGUCCUCCUCUUCCUCCGAGGCUGACGCGGCUGACAGGGUCUGGUUCAUCCAUGAUGGCUGUGGCAUGAUCUGCGCUGUCAUGACGUGGCUUCUGGUCGUCUAUGCAGACUUUGUGGUGACAUUUGUCAUGCUGCUGCCUUCCAAAGACUUCUGGUACUCCGUGGUCAACGGAGUCAUUUUUAACUGCUUAGCGGUGCUUGCCCUGUCAUCUCACCUGAGAACCAUGCUCACCGACCCUGGAGCAGUACCCAGAGGAAACGCUACUAAAGAAUACAUGGAGAGUUUGCAGCUGAAGCCUGGAGAAGUGAUCUACAAGUGCCCAAAGUGCUGCUGCAUCAAGCCCGAACGCGCCCACCACUGCAGUAUUUGCAAAAGAUGUAUUCGGAAAAUGGAUCAUCACUGCCCGUGGGUGAACAAUUGUGUAGGAGAGAAGAAUCAGAGAUUUUUUGUGCUCUUUACUAUGUACAUAGCUCUGUCUUCAGUGCACGCUCUGAUUCUCUGUGGACUCCAGUUCAUUUCCUGCGUCCGGGGGCAGUGGACAGAAUGCAGUGAUUUUUCACCUCCGAUCACUGUAAUCCUGUUGAUCUUCCUGUGCCUUGAGGGUCUCCUGUUUUUCACUUUCACUGCAGUUAUGUUCGGCACCCAGAUCCACUCAAUAUGCAAUGAUGAAACGGAGAUCGAGAGACUGAAAAGCGAGGAGCCGACCUGGGAGCGGCGGCUGCGAUGGGAGGGGAUGAAGUCUGUCUUUGGGGGGCCGCCCUCCCUCCUCUGGAUAAAUCCCUUCGUCGGCUUCCGAUUUAGGCGACUACAAAUGAGACCCAGAAAAGGAGGCCCGGAGUUCUCCGUUUGAGACGCCUCUCCUGCUGGGGCUUGUGAAUGGACUUUAAAUUAUUUAUUUGGUGUCUGAAAGGGUAUCAACAACUCAUCUGUGACCAAUAGGGCAAAUGGGACCUACACAAACCAGUUGCUUGCAGCAAGCAGAAUCUUACAUACUUACAGUCGCAGGUGGCAGAUUUUCCAAACUAGGAACUGGAUGCUGCAGGUGUUUUCACCUGUACAACUAACGGAAGGGAGCUGGCCACAUGAAGAAGCCAAAUGUCAUUCUCGUCCCUCCAGUUAGGACUUUGUUAAGACUACUUUGCAUUCCUGAGAAGCUGUGUGAUAUUACAUGGGUUAUUAAAUCCUGUGUACUGAGCUGCUGUUUCCAAUCACUAAGAAGAAAAGAAUUGAUAAAUUCUUUGAAAUCCAGUGAAAGGAUUCUCCGACGAGCGGUGGCAGGGAGUCCUGUUGACCCUGCGAUUCAUUAGUGCACUCCCUUGGUCCAGAGGGCAUUUACGUAGAAGUACAUUUUGGUCUCCAUUAGCUCUGUCAUUCGCACUGAAUUUGCAAAAGAUCUGUGCAUUGCACACGAAGGCGGCUCCAGUGAUAAAAAAAAAAAGGACCCUUGGUGCAGAGCUUAAAAUUAUGCCAGAAAGCAAACAGCUCCCCUCCUUGGGGACUCGCCUUAAACUUGCCUGGUCUGUCCAUGUUCUGCGGGACCCAUGAGGAAGCGUCUGUGACAGUCCGAGGGUCUCCGUGAGCCUGCCUCCCACGCUGAGAAGAGUUGGUGUCUCCCUCCUGGUCUUCAUGCCUUUCUGUCCAUCUGUGAACCGUUUCUGUUUCUGUUUUUAAGUGAUCCGCACCCUUUCCUAAUCAGGGUUUCUACCACUGCUGAUGCAAAACCACAAAGGGACCUACUCGAGACUCAAUGGUAGCCAGUGAACAAAGCUGUGGGAUGUGGAAGUGAACCAAGUCACUGCAGAAACUGUGAGCUCUGGGGGCUGUCACUGUCCCAGGGCCAGGCACCCAUCCGGAGAGUUUCCUGAGAUUGUUUUGCAUAUUCUUUUGCACAUCUGUUGUCUGGGUUGGACUCGUGUAUUGGGCUUCGAUGUGAGCCUUUUAAUAUGUAUAUCUUGUUUAUCAAUAAAUUAUCCAAGUGGUUGAAUCCUGUGAGACUUGGCAAGUAUGUGCAAAUCAAGUAUACUUGACUUUUCAACCUCUUCUUUCAAUGUAACUUUUAUAUGAAAUAAAGUCACCGCUGAUGAUCUCAAA